UACGAAGGGGGCUAGCGUUGCUCGGAAUCACUGGGCGUAAAGGGUGCGUAGGCGGCUUUCUAAGUUGGAUGUGAAAACUCUGGGCUCAACCCAGAGACUGCAUCCAAAACUGGAGAGCUUGGGUUCUGGAGGGGAAAGCGGAAUUCCUGGUGUAGCGGUGAAAUGACGCAGAUAUCAGGAAGAACACCCGUGGCGAAAGCGGCUCUCUGGAACGGUACUGACGCUGAGACGCGAAAGCGUGGGGAGCGAACAGG
rnacentral:rRNA from 1 species